AGUUUGAUCAUGGCUCAGGACGAACGCUGGCGGCGUGCCUAACACAUGCAAGUCGAGCGGAGAUUAGUGGAUGGUAACUGAAGCUAAUUUUAGCGGCGGACGGGUGAGUAACACGUGGGCAACCUGCCUCAAAGAGGGGGAUAACACCGAGAAAUCGGUGCUAAUACCGCAUAACAUACACACAUCACAUGGUGAGUGUAUCAAAGGAGAAAUCCGCUUUGAGAUGGGCCCGCGGCUGAUUAGCUAGUUGGUGAGGUAACGGCUCACCAAGGCGACGAUCAGUAGCCGACCUGAGAGGGUGACCGGCCACACUGGAACUGAGACACGGUCCAGACUCCUACGGGAGGCAGCAGUGGGGAAUAUUGCGCAAUGGGGGAAACCCUGACGCAGCAACGCCGCGUGGAGGAAGAAGGUCUUCGGAUUGUAAACUCCUGUCUUCUGGGACGAUAAUGACGGUACCAGAGGAGGAAGCCACGGCUAACUACGUGCCAGCAGCCGCGGUAAUACGUAGGUGGCGAGCGUUGUCUGGAAUUACUGGGCGUAAAGGGCGCGUAGGCGGUUCUUUAAGUUAGAUGUGAAAACCCGAGGCUUAACUUCGGGAGUGCAUUUAAAACUGAAGGGCUUGAGUGCAGGAGAGGUAAGUGGAAUUCCUAGUGUAGCGGUGAAAUGCGUAGAUAUUAGGAGGAACACCAGUGGCGAAGGCGACUUACUGGACUGUAACUGACGCUGAGGCGCGAAAGCGUGGGGGAGCAAACAGGAUUAGAUACCCUGGUAGUCCACGCUGUAAACGAUGGAUACUAGGUGUGGGAGGUAUCGACCCCUUCCGUGCCGCAGUUAACGCAAUAAGUAUCCCGCCUGGGGAGUACGGCCGCAAGGUUGA
rnacentral:rRNA from 1 species